rnacentral:rRNA from 1 species
AACGAACGCUGGCGGCGUGCCUAACACAUGCAAGUCGAGCGCGAAUGGAGCAAUCCUAGUAGAGCGGCGCACGGGUGCGUAACACGUGGGUAAUCUGCCUCAAAGCCCGGGAUAACCUGCCGAAAGGCAAGCUAAUACCGGAUAAGCCUACGGACUCUUCGGGGUCUGAAGGAAAGGUGGCCUCUGUAUACAAGCUAUCACUUUGAGAUGAGCCCGCGGCCCCAUCAGCUCGUUGGCGGGGUAACGGCCCACCAAGGCAACGACGGGUAGCUGGUCUGAGAGGACGAUCAGCCACACUGGAACUGAGACACGGUCCAGACUCCUACGGGAGGCAGCAGUGGGAAUUUUGCGCAAUGGGCGAAAGCCUGACGCAGCAACGCCGCGUGUGUGAUGAAGGUCUU